UGGGGAAUAUUGGACAAUGGGCGCAAGCCUGAUCCAGCCAUGCCGCGUGUGUGAAGAAGGCCUUUUGGUUGUAAAGCACUUUAAGCGAGGAGGAGGCUACUUGGAUUAAUACUCUAGGAUAGUGGACGUUACUCGCAGAAUAAGCACCGGCUAACUCUGUGCCAGCAGCCGCGGUAAUACAGAGGGUGCGAGCGUUAAUCGGAUUUACUGGGCGUAAAGCGUGCGUAGGCGGCUUCUUAAGUCGGAUGUGAAAUCCCUGAGCUUAACUUAGGAAUUGCAUUCGAUACUGGGAAGCUAGAGUAUGGGAGAGGAUGGUAGAAUUCCAGGUGUAGCGGUGAAAUGCGUAGAGAUCUGGAGGAAUACAGAUGGCGAAGGCAGCCAUCUGGCCUAAUACUGACGCUGAGGUACGAAAGCAUGGGGAGCAAACAGG
rnacentral:rRNA from 1 species